rnacentral:rRNA from 1 species
GUGAGGAAUAUUGCGCAAUGGAGGCAACUCUGACGCAGCCAUGCCGCGUGCAGGAAGAAGGCGCUACGCGUUGUAAACUGCUUUUAACCGGGAAGAAACCCCAGGACGUGUCCUGGGUUGACGGUACCGGAGGAAUAAGCACCGGCUAACUUCGUGCCAGCAGCCGCGGUAAUACGAAGGGUGCAAGCGUUAUCCGGAUUCAUUGGGUUUAAAGGGUGCGUAGGCGAAUCGUUAAGUCAGUGGUGAAAUCCUGCAGCUUAACUGUAGACUUGCCAUUGAUACUGGCGCUCUUGAGUGCGCUUGAAGUGGGCGGAAUGUGCCGUGUAGCAGUGAAAUGCUUAGAUAUGGCACAGAACACCAAUUGCGAAGGCAGCUCACUAAGGCGAUACUGACGCUGAGGCACGAAAGCGUGGGGAUCGAACAGGAUUAGAUACCCCGGUAGUCC